GGCACAUCUGCUCGAUAACACAGAGAGGCUGGAAAGGUCAUCUCGGAGACUAGAGGCUGGAUACCAAAUAGCAGUGGAAACCGAAAUAAGGAAGGAGAAAAGCCCAGAACUUCUGUCCCCAAGUGAGACAUAAAAGCAGAUGAUUGAAAAAUGCCAUUCUCAUUUCAGUGUAGAAUGAGAAUGAUAUUAUUUAGACGUUAUUUCUUCAUCUAGUUUAAAUCGCAUCAUAGUGUUUUGUGCUAAUGACUUUACUACCCUGUUUAUGUGAAUCCUUCUACUGAUUUUGUGGCUUUGUUUUCCAUAUUGCUAACUCUUCCAAUAUCUCUACUUUCCAGUAUGAGCUGUCUAUCACUUUGUUUUUCUGCCGUUUGCUAAUACUUCACUCACAUUACUUCACUAGCUCGAAAAAUGUAAACAUUGUUUUAUAUGAAACUUUAUACUCUUGGCCUAAUCACCACAAUUGUAAUAAACACUCAUGAUUGUAAACAGUGGCGUGGCAGUUAUUGGCAGAGCGUAAAUAUAUGUUGAAUUCCAAGUGUGUGGGGCUGCAUGCAUUGAAGUGCAUGCUGGGGAAGUUGGCUGUUUUGCUUGUAUGUUAGCAAAAAGAUUUGCAAGAGCAUGUUUCCAUGAGUUUGUACUGAGGUCAAGUUCAGUGCAAUGAUAUCUGAAUAUAGGUAUUAUGUGUACCUAAGUGUUGUGGUUUGCAUUUUUAUGAAAUGAGUCACAUGGUUUACGCUGUUUGUCAUGCAAAGAUUAACUUUGGUGCAAAGGCUGUCCCUUACAUCAGCUUGGCUGGUUUCUGCUGCAGUGAGCUUUUCCAUAUUUUUAUAGCCUCUGUGACUAUAAACAUAAAGAUUUUGGAGAGUGUUUAUGUAUUUGGGGAUUUAGUUCCUGUUUAGCUCUUUUGUAGAUUCUAGACAAGCAAGUGUUUAGUAUACUUGAAACACGCAAACCAAUUAGAUGAAGAGGGUGUUUCAGUCUUUAUUGUAUUAUUUGCAUAGAUGCAGUAACUUUUGAUUUUAUUCUGUGUCUUGAAAAUACUACUGAUUUUUAUAAUUGAGUUUUGUAAGAUUUCUAUGCGUUGAAUGUCUUGGCUCUUCUACAAUAAUUGAUUGGAAUGCCAUCUUGAGAAAUUUCAUCCCAAGGACUGAUUAUAUUUGCUUUACUGCCUAUGUAAUUACUUUUGUCAUUUUAGCAAUUUCUGCAGUAGUGAAAUAAUAUCAAGUGGAGAAGUGUUAAGACUGAACUUUAGAUAUCAUUAAAUAUAUUUUAAUCAUUUUCCUUUUAGAAAAAGAGCUUUUUAAAUUUUAUGAUGAGGAUCUGUUUUAAACAAUGUAGGAAAUAUAGUAUUUUCUUAAAUUAAUUAAAAAUGAUGAAUCAGGCUUUCCCAAGUGUUAAUGACCAAGUGAAGAGUCUUUUAAUUGUGUAUAUACUGAAAUAUUCUGCGCAGUAAAAAUUCGAACAUCAUAAGCUUUAGAAAUUUCUCACAAUGUCAUGUGCUGGAAUAAAUUAAAUGUGUAGUCUAUAUGUUUGUAAAGAUUGGUGCUUAUUAUUUUACGUUGUUCUCCUCGUAGAUACAGUUAAGUUAAGAAUCACAUAAUUCCUAAAGAACUUUAAAAACUUUAAUAUUUGUAACAAACAAACCCUUUUAUUCACCUCCAAUGCUUUGACUUAGCUCACUUGCACCUUUUUGUCCAGGACAUAUUCUGGUAACAGAAGAAUUCACUUUACUGAAUAUUUGCCAUGUAAACUUAUGAAAACAAAGACUGAUCUGAUAUGGGCAGGUAAAAUAUUGAAUUAGUAGUGAGCAUACCUCUGUCCUGUUAUGAUGAAUCAGUAUUUGCUCAACUACUCAGUUACUGUUCCCAAAAAGCAAAUGGCCUGUGUUUUUAUUCCUGAAUACACCACAGACCUGAAGCUUGAGUAUUAACAGUUUGAGUUCUGUACAACUUGGAGGCUAUUGGUCUUUUUGUUACAGCUUCUUCAAAUGCAAAAUAGCAGUUUCUGCCUUGUGUGAUGGUGAUCAUGGAAAGUUCUUAAACUGCUAAGUUUUUCAAAUGCUCUGAAUACUGUGAUUAUUGUCCUUGUUAACUAUUUUAAAUGCUUGCCAGUAAUGCAUGUUAUUCCUUGCUUGUGCUUUAAAUUGAGUAUCUCCAUACAAAUAAAAUUCUUUAAUAAUCCAAUAUGUAACUUCUUCAUUCUGAGAAAUUACAUUACUGACGAUUUGUUAUAAUGAUGUAUCUAUCUGCAAAAAUACCUGAAUGAGCUUUGCAUUUCCUGUAGCUUAUUUUCUUCCCAACCACUUACUAAGAGUAAACCCCAAGCUUCCUUGAUAGUUGUCUCAACCAAAAUAUCAAGAGAGAAAUGGCUCACUUCACUUUUCCUUUAGAGGUGAGAUGGCUUGAUUUACAAAGUACAAAUUAGAAGAAAAACAACAGGAAUCUGACACGUUAAAGUCAGAAGUAUUUAUCUUGAUUUUGCUGGAAAUCACGUUUGAAAAUAUGGGCCGUGAGAAGAAUCUCUGGUAAAAAGUAAAAGGUCCAGUACUGUAUUUAGGUACUACUUUUAUGAGGAUUAUUUUACUUAUGUUAUGCGCUUCUAUGUAAUUGAGUCUCAGCAAUGACUGCUGUGUGUUUUGGAGAUGAUAAAAUCUAGAACUGAACAUAAAUUUAUGAACUUGUGGGUUAACAUAAGGUGUAGUGUUGAAAACCUGUUAAAAAAAAAACGAGGCUAGUAGGUUCUAUUCUUAACUUUUUAUGCUUUUGAAUUUUUGUAUUGUGUCAAAUACAGUGCUUUCUUAUCUCCAAAGAUUAAAUGUGCCCAUUUUGCCUAUGUAAUAUUUAUAUAUGGACAGGAAAUAGAAGUCAGUAUCCAGAUUUGUUGACCCCUGAGAUAUAAUAUUGACCUCAGUGAGUAUUAACUUCUCAGAUCAAUAAAUGCUGUUAUUGACCUCAAAGAAAAAUCAAUAGCAGCUUGUUAAUUUGCAAACUAUGACUGCAAGAAAAUGGUACACAUUUUGUUCUUCAUUAUCACGUAUUUAUAUCUAUAUUUUAACGCCUUCAGUAUUUCUACCUUGAGAUCAUCGUGUCAAAACAUUUCAAUUCUGGCUGUUAGAAGCUUGAGGAGAGAGGCAUUGUACAUUAUAGAAUAAUUGAUGAGUAGUACGUGUUAUUUCCCAUAUCUCAUAAAAAUAGCGCCCUGAACAGUUGUAUAUCACCUGUGUUGUUUUCAUUUUUUGGGUAGUCCAUUUCAUUUUCUCUGGUGAGCUUCAUCAAAACAUUGCAUAAAAGUACUAUAUUUUAGCUGCCAAAAAACAUUUCUACAUGAAUAAUAAGGGGGAUGAAAGACUGACUACUGGAAACAAGGAGACUGAAAGUGAUCACUGUAAAAAUCAUAAUUAAUAUACAGUAGAUUUUUUUCCUAUUUGCAUGAAGAUGACAGGUUUCUAGGCAAGAUUAUGCUCUUCAGCAACUUGAAGUUAUAACUCUGUGACUAUAUUUAAAAAAAGAAAGUUUUAAAUGACAAAGUAUUGGUGGAGAGGUGUUAUUUGUAUUAUAGCAGGUUUUGUAUAUAAACACUGAAAUGUCAGGUUUUACAUAGUUUGAAAUGUCUAAAAAAUGCCUAUUGCUGAAAUUCAAAUGUCAUAACAGUUCCUCUGCAUAUAUAUCACUUUGAUAUUUAAACUUAAAAACCUCAUAAAUGAUUUAAUAUUACUUUGGCCUUGUUAUGAUCUGACUGCCAAAAAAGGCAGAGGCUGAUUGUUAUCUGGUCUGGAGAGUGGUGUUUUCAUUCACAGAAGACAAAGCACAAGUCUGUCAGCCUUUUACAGUCAUUAAUUCUGUCUGAUACAUCUGCAGUGAUCUUGGCAAACUGAUUGCUAUGUUUAAAAAACUUUCAUUAAGUGACAGAGUGAGAGGUAUUCAAAUGCAAAAAUAAAACACUGGUUUUAUUUUUACAAACUGAAGUGGCUGCAGGUUUGUUUUUUGGUUUUUUGGGUUUUUUUUGCCAGCUUGAUGGCAAUACAAUUUUGUUCUUUAGUUCCAUGAGCUCCAAGAACUUUGUGUGUUCAUGCUGUUUAUCUGAGGGAUGAGGUUAAUGGUAUUGUAUUCAUCCUGUUGAUAGGAAGAACAAAGCAUAAUGAAGUUAGAUGAAAAUAAAUAAGCACAAAGCUAGACUAAUCUCUGAGUCUCAGGAAAGGAUUCUGGAACAGAUCUGAAAGGACAUUAGUGGCGAUUAUGCAAUAUCUUUUCUCUCUUACAGAAGUAGUUUUAACUCAUCAGGUAGGACUGUAUCUAUUCAUUGACAUUUCCUACAGAAGUCUACACAGACAUCCCAAGUCACAGGAGCAGUUUCCUAUGGAUUUGAUGUUCUGAGUCAUCUUUGAGUAACCACGCAUUUUGAGUUGUACUAGAAAAGAGUGAAUGAGGGAGGAAGUUGUCAGUUUUUGAGAGGGCAGAAAGCUCCUAGUCACUACUCAGGAGCAGAGAGAUCAUGUUAGUCUUACAGUUUAGGAUUAUCCAUUUGCAGUCUGCACCAGGCUAUUCGGUGUGCCAAAAUGUCUCAUCAGAAUUUUAGGAGUAGAAAUGGGAAUAAAGUCUAGGCCAACCAAAACAGUUCUUCAUAAGUGUGAGUCAAAUAUGUCUCCUUGAUUUUUGCAAGCCACUUAUUUUUCAACUGCUGUCUAGUCUGCUCAAGAACACUGCUACAGUGAUUAGAUAUCAAAAUGGCCCCAGCAUUACAGAAGAUGGUGCUGGUGUCAGUUCUCAUGGUGCUCUGAUGGCCAUCUUGUACAUGGUGAAUUUUCUACUCUGAAAGUAUUAUCUUUAUCGUGUACUGGAACU